rnacentral:rRNA from 1 species
AUGUUGUGCAAUGACAUAUCAACAUUGUUGGACACAUUCAUUCAUAUUACUUCUCCUAACCUUGUCUAUUUAUACAUAGGUGAGGUUUCAUCUACCGAAAACAUGUGCUAUCACAACCAUUGGGAUAAAUGCCAUCCUGAUCAAAAUGGAAUGUGUCGAGAUAGUUGUGUGGAAGACGGAUGGGAUGAUGGACAAUGCCGGAACCGGUUUAAAAGACUAAUGGGUGCCAAGUGCGAAUGCUACCCUAAGACUUCGAUCAUUAGGGAGGCAACAUGCGACUUUCUUCUACCAAGUUACUACUAUUUAUAA